rnacentral:rRNA from 1 species
UACGAAGGGGGCGAGCGUUGUUCGGAUUUACUGGGCGUAAAGGGCUCGUAGGCGGCCAACUAAGUCAGACGUGAAAUCCCUCGGCUUAACCGGGGAACUGCGUCUGAUACUGGAUGGCUUGGAUUUGGGAGAGGGAUGCGGAAUUCCAGGUGUAGCGGUGAAAUGCGUAGAUAUCUGCAGGAACACCCGUGGCGAAAGCGGCGCGCUGGACCACUACUGACGCUGAGGAACGAAAGCUAGGGGAGCAAACAGG